rnacentral:rRNA from 1 species
GGUGCUUGCACCUGGUGGCGAGUGGCGAACGGGUGAGUAAUACAUCGGAACAUGUCCUGUAGUGGGGGAUAGCCCGGCGAAAGCCGGAUUAAUACCGCAUACGAUCUACGGAUGAAAGCGGGGGACCUUCGGGCCUCGCGCUAUAGGGUUGGCCGAUGGCUGAUUAGCUAGUUGGUGGGGUAAAGGCCUACCAAGGCGACGAUCAGUAGCUGGUCUGAGAGGACGACCAGCCACACUGGGGCUGAGACACGGCCCAGACUCCUACGGGAGGCAGCAGUGGGGAAUUUUGGACAAUGGGCGAAAGCCUGAUCCAGCAAUGCCGCGUGUGUGAAGAAGGCCUUCGGGUUGUAAAGCACUUUUGUCCGGAAAGAAAUCCUUGGUUCUAAUAUAGCCGGGGGAUGACGGUACCGGAAGAAUAAGCACCGGCUAACUACGUGCCAGCAGCCGCGGUAAUACGUAGGGUGCGAGCGUUAAUCGGAAUUACUGGGCGUAAAGCGUGCGCAGGCGGUUUGCUAAGACCGAUGUGAAAUCCCCGGGCUCAACCUGGGAACUGCAUUGGUGACUGGCAGGCUAGAGUAUGGCAGAGGGGGGUAGAAUUCCACGUGUAGCAGUGAAAUGCGUAGAGAUGUGGAGGAAUACCGAUGGCGAAGGC